UUACGGCCAUAUCACUUUGGGGCCUCAGUUCCCCAAGGAUCACCGAAGUUAAGCAACGUCGAGCCUGGUCCAUAUCUAGAUGGGUGACCGCUAGGGAAUACCAGGUGCUGUAAG